CUUCCGAUCUACUAUUGAAGAUUUAGAACAGCUGCUUGAACAAUUUUUAAAUCAGCCGAAUAAUUUUGAAACAUCGGUUAAAGAAGUAUCCCGAGUUGGGGGGAAAAAUCCUUACGAUUUUAUAAAACGCAACUGUACUCGUUUACUGACUAACAAACUAGCAGAAGAAUAUAGUUGGCUCGGGGCAAAACAAAAACGAAAAUUUUGUCAUUUAAAACUUGCUGACUUGCUAAUUGUUUCAGGUCAGGAGAGUAAUGAUACAUAUACUAAAAAGGUGUUAGAAGAAGCAGUUCAGAAAUGGCUGCGUAGAGCCAAGGAAAGAUCAGAUGCUGAGUUGAAGAAGAUGUAAGAUAAACAAGAAAUUAAACAAUUACAUAUUCUAUUAUGUUUUCCUAUUAAAGAUAAUGUUUCUUUAUUAUAAAGAUCAAAUUAUAUCAAUAUACACGUAUAUUUGUAAUGUGAUUAUAUGUGAUAUUAUAAUAUAAUCUAUGUUCAAAGUUUUCAUUUAAGUUUAUCAAAACGUUUAUUAUUUGUGAUACUAAUAUAAUUGUAAUAAUAUAAGUUUUGUUCAAAUAUUUAACGUUUAUCAAUGUAACUUACGAUAUAAUA